CACACAGAGGCACACACACAGAGGCACACACACAGAGGCACACACACACACACACACACACACACCCUGACCAGCCCGCUCUGACUUUCACUCCUGCUGUAUUCUGUCUCUUUCUGUCUACUCAUGCUUUCUCCUCUGCUUUCAAUCCAACGUUUCUUCUCCUGGUUAUUUCCCACCCUUUGGAGACCAAAAGCCCAUCUUUCAUAGCACACUUCCUUCCUCUUCACUCCUUCUUUCCCUCUGCUUUCCACUCUUUCCUUCGAUCCCAGCAGUACAUCAAAGCAUGUCUUGCUGUUUAUGCUGUCUGCAGAACUGUUGUGUCUCUCCCCAGUUUUUGUCUCUGUACUCUAAUGCCUUAAAUGGUGGGCAAUGGAAGCCUGGGGUAGAGCUCCCAUGAUCCUCUCAGGUGAAGGAAGGAGAUGAGGUGAUGUUUACUUUCAUAAUGAUCCCUGAGGUGCCAUUUGGCAUUUCCACCCUUAUCUUCUUCUCAGGGGACAGUGGAGCCUUUCAGAGACGGUAUGGCAAUGACCAAUAGAGUCUGUGGUAAUGCCUUGUGGUCCUGUGCAUUUUCCUCAGUUUCAAUUUAUGUAUUUAUAUAUUUAAGGAAUGUAUUUUUAAAUUAAAAUAUAACUACAUCAAUUCCUUCUUCCUCUUUCAUUCUCCCAACUCCUCCCAUGAUCCCUCCUCACCCCUUAUGGUCUCUUAUUCUGUCAUUAUUACUGCUACAUAUGCUUAUAUGUGUACAAAUAUGUAGAUAUAACUUUCUGAGUCCAUUUUUGUUGUGUGUAUAUGAUCUCAGGUCCAACCAGUCUAUGUUGUGUAAACAACUGUGGAGGAUGGAGCUCAUUCCGAGGAGGCGCUAAUUCUCCUUCGCUCAACAGCCACUAAUUGCCCACAGUUCUUUGUCUUGGGAUUGGAUCUGGUGAACUUUUCUCCCUUUUGCUUAAGCAUAUAUAUUGAUAUUGUCACUGUUCAGGUCUUUUUAAGACAGCCCUUUAUGGGAGACACAAUCUCAGAACAAACUUCUUGGUCCUCUGGUUCUUACAAUGGUUCUGCCCCCUCUUCCUCAGUGGGUCUUAGGUGUAAAUGUCAUGUUGUAGAGUUGGUCUCUCCACAAUCGGUUGUUUUUUUACAUUGUGUCUUGUUGUGGUUUUCUGUAAUGGUCUCCAUUUGCUGUAAAGAGAAGCUUCUUUGGUGAGGAAUGAGAGCUACAUUUAUCUGUGGGUAUAAGGAUAAGAUUUAGACUAUAGUUAGGAAUUAGGCUGGUCUAGUAACACUAGAAGGUUCUCUUCUAAGUUUUAAUAACCUGUCUGGUCCCCAGGGAGUUGGCUAGCUUUCUUGUGCCAGGCAUGGUUUCCUGUUGGGCGGGCCUUAAGUCCAAUUAGACAGGUGCUGGUUAUCAUUAACACAUGAGUGUGGCUAUUGCACCUUUAGAGAUAUUUUAGGGAUAUCUCGCCAUGCUGAUCAUUGUGAUUGAUAGGCAUCACAGCUAUAUAGGAUUACUGACUGAUUUCUUCCUCCGGUAACUUGCAUAGCACUUUUUGAUAUUAUGGAAGACAGAUUGCAGUUAGGAAGCUUUUAGUUCAGAUCGGUGGUUCUCACCCUUUCUACUGCUGCAGUCCUUUAAUACAGUUCCUCAUGUGGUGACCCCCCAACCAUAAAGCUAUUUUGUUGCCACUUAAUAACUGUAAUUUUGUAAUGUAAAUAUAUGAUAUACAAGAUAUCUGGUAUGUGACCCUCAAAGGAGUCAUGUCCUCUCAAAGGGGUCUCAGCCCACAGGUUAACUGCUGGAUUAGAUCUAGCUCCAGUCUUCCAAGUCCUGUGCCCUAAGUGUGUGAUGUCUUCUUCAGUAGGGUCUGACCUUCGACCUCUGAGAGACAACCAAAGUUAACAGCAAAUAGUGUAUAUUGUUUAGGGACCCACAACUCAAACGGGGUUUCUCAUGCCUGGUACUGGGGGUUUUGUUAGAUCAUCUGUAACCUUUGUGGGAGCCUUGACAGCACAAGUGACACAACUUCGCUUCAUACAUAAGUAUUAUUGCUUUGGGGUUAUUUGUCUCUCUUUCUCUUUCUCCUUUUGUACUGACUUCACUUCCCCUUCACAGCCUCUUCUCCAUUUCCACCACACCCCUUUUCAGGUUUUUGUAUUCUUUUAUUCCCCUUAAGUUCUCCCCUUCCAUCCUACAGUAUAAAUGUCCUUUUAUACUUCCUGGUUUCUUCACUUACUGCAUAUUGUAUACCCACUCCUGCAGAUUCAGAGCUAGGCAGCUUAUGUCUUUCUGGGUCUAAGUCACUCAUUCAAUAUGAUCUUUUAAAGACUCAUCAGUUUACUUGCAAAUUUCAAAAUUCCAUUUUUUUAUAGCUAACUAAUAUUCCACUGUGUUUAUGUACCACAUUUACAUUAUCCAUUCAUUUGUUGAAAGACAAUUUCCAUUUCUUAUCUAUUGUAUCUAUUUUGUUUGUUUGUUUGUUUGGUUGGUUUUCAAGACAGGGUUUCUUUGUAUAGCCCUGGUUGUCCUGGAACUCACUCUGUAGACCAGACUGGCCUUGAACUCAGAAAUCCGCCUACCUCUGCCUUGAGUCCUUUGGGCAUAUGCCAAGGAUGGUAUAGCAGGGUCACAUCAUAACUCAUUUUUAGCUUUUUGAUAAUUUGCUAUACUGAUUUCCAGAGUGCUAUUAUCUGCUUUUGUUCCCAUCACCAGUGAAUGAGGGCUCCCCUUUCCUACACCCCCACUAGCAACAAUAGAUUAGGGCCCUCUUUCCUUACACCCCCACUAGCAACAAUAGAUUAGGGCCCCCUUUCCCUAUAUCCCCACUAGCAACAGUGGAUGAGGCUCCUCUUUCCCUAAUCCCCACUAGCAUUUGUUGUCAACUGUUUUGUUGCUCUUAGCCAUUCUGACUUUCUGAAUGUGGGAGACAAAAAAAAAAUCACACGGUCACGUCAGUAGAUAUAGAAACACCCUUUAACGAAAUCCAGUAUGCUUUCAUGACGAAAAUCCUAGAGAGAGUAGAACUUACCUCAACAAAACAAAGGCCACGUAUGACAAAUCCAUGGUUAGCAUUAUCUUAAGAAGAACUUAAAUCAAUCCCAUUUGAAUCAAGAACACGAUGGUUGCCCACUACUCCCACUCUCUUCCAAUAUAAUGCUUAAAGCACUAGCUGGAGAAAUAAGGCAAGAAGAAGAAAUUAAAGGGAUACAUAUAGGUGAAGAUGUCAAAUUAUCCCAAUUUGCAGAUGAUAUUAUAUUUGAUAUUAAAGUUCCCUAAAAUUCUACCAAGAAACUUUCAGAAGCAACAUAAACAAUUACAGCAAAGUGGCAAUAUACAAAAUCAACUUAUAAAAAAAUCAGUAGCCUUUCCAUACACUGACAAUAAACAUGCUGAGAGAUAAUAGACACAUUGGAAUUUACAAUAUCCUUAGAUAGUAAAAUAAAUACCUUGAAUGUAACCCAACCGAGGAGAUGAAAGAACUCUUCAGUGAAAACUUCUGAUGUAUGAAGAGAUGAGAGGCAUGUAGGAAAUGUGAGACAGCCUGUGUUCAUGGUCCAGUAAAAUCAUUAUUGUGAAAAUGACUAUCUUACAAAAAAGCAAUUUACAGUUUCUAUGCAAUUCCAAUUCAAAUACCCACAGCAUUAUUCACAGGAAUAGAAAAAAAAACUUAAAUUUAUGUGGAAUCAGAAUAGACCCUGGAUAACCAAAGCAAUUCUAU
rnacentral:lncRNA from 1 species